UGUUUGAGGAAAUGCAUUUAAACUUCAAGAGCAUCCUUAGCACUAAACCUCCUAACACUCACGAGAUCAAAUCCCAUCAGGCCCUUUUUCCUCCUUUUGUUCUAGAAGCAAAACCAAGGUAUAACACCUACACAGCUCCUUCCACCUAACCAAGGUUGACAGACGUCGUCGGGAGGCCAAACUCAAAGGCAGGGCGCAUGAAGCGGGAAAACACAGUGGGUGUAGGUGGCGGGAAGGAAAUCUGGGUCUGGAUUCUCAUGAGUUCCUUCCCUUCGAAGCUGUGUGACCUCACACAGGUCACGUCCCCUUUCUGGCCUGCACUGAGAAAUGAAACAAGAUGAUCAAAAUCCUUGGUACAGGGAUAUAAAGAUGUACAAAACAAUUCCUGGUCUCCAGGAGCUCCCAGAGAAGAGGUGUGUAAGUCAACAGAGGCAGCCCAGGGGAACAAAAUGCUUCAUGAGGGCUAUGUCGAGGACACACGGGUGGCAGGUGGAGAAGUGAACCACGCUUCGAGGGUGAGAGGAGAGCCCGAGGAAGUCUUCAUACAGAGGAAAUUCUUGUGCUCAGUGUUUAAAGAAACUUUAUCAUUAAGAUGUUCCUGCCAUGGAUGUCAGCACCAGCACAGAACUGGACCCCUGGCAUUAACUCCUGGUUGUGCCACUUACUCGGUGGCCUCACUGGACUGCGAGCUCCAUAUAAGCAUGCAUGUUUAUCUGAUUCUUAAUUUUAUUCCCAAUGCUUGGCAUUUACGAGAUGCUCAAAAUAUACUUGCUGAAUUGAAACCUCU
rnacentral:lncRNA from 1 species